UCUCUGGUGGCUUAGCUGGUAAAGAAUCCACCUGCAAUGUGGGAGACCUGGGUUCAAUCCCUGGAUUGGGAA
rnacentral:tRNA from 1 species